UCUGGUGAUGAUGCGUUUAGAAGAUACACUCGUUCCCAUACCGAACACGCAAGUUAAGCUCUAAACGGCCAAGAGUACUGCAAGGGAGACUUUGUGGAGGGUAGGUGGUCGCCAGGU
rnacentral:rRNA from 1 species